GGUUACUGCUAUCGGUGUUCGUCUAAGCCAUGCGAGUCAUAUGUUCUUCGGAACAUGGCGUACUGCUCAGUAACACGUGGAUAACCUGCCCUUGGGUCUGGCAUAACUCCGGGAAACUGGGGAUAAUACCGGAUAACGCAUAUCUGCUGGAAUUCUUUAUGCGUGAAAUGGAUUCGUCUGCCCAAGGAUGGGACUGCGGCCUAUCAGGUAGUAGUGGGUGUAAUGUACCUACUAGCCGACGACGGGUACGGGUUGUGAGAGCAAGAGCCCGGAGAUGGAUUCUGAGACAUGAAUCCAGGCCCUACGGGGCGCAGCAGGCGCGAAAACUUUACAAUGCGGGAAACCGUGAUAAGGGGACACCGAGUGCCAGCAUUAUAUGUUGGCUGUCCGGGUGUGUAAAAUACACCUGUUAGCAAGGGCCGGGCAAGACCGGUGCCAGCCGCCGCGGUAACACCGGCGGCCCGAGUGGUGAUCGUGUUUAUUGGGUCUAAAGGGUCCGUAGCCGGUUUGGUCAGUCCUCCGGGAAAUCUGACGGCUUAACCGUUAGGCUUUCGGGGGAUACUGCCAGACUUGGAACCGGGAGAGGUAAGAGGUACUACAGGGGUAGGAGUGAAAUCUUGUAAUCCCUGUGGGACCACCUGUGGCGAAGGCGUCUUACCGGAACGGGUUCGACGGUGAGGGACGAAAGCUGGGGGCACGAACCGGAUUAGAUACCCGGGUAGUCCCAGCCGUAAACGAUGCUCGCUAGGUGUCAGGCAUGGCGCGACCGUGUCUGGUGCCGCAGGGAAGCCGUGAAGCGAGCCACCUGGGAAGUACGGCCGCAAGGCUGAAACUUAA
rnacentral:rRNA from 1 species